AGAAUCAACGCUGGCGGCGUGCCUAACACAUGCAAGUCGAACGAGAAAGGGACUUCGGUCCUGAGUAUAGUGGCGCACGGGUGAGUAACACGUGAAUAAUCUACCUCCGAGUGGGGAAUAACUGGAAGAAAUUUCAGCUAAUACCGCAUAACACUUACGAGUCAAAGCAGUAAUGCGCUUGGAGAGGAGUUCGCGGCAGAUUAGUUAGUUGGCGGGGUAAUGGCCCACCAAGACGAUGAUCUGUAUCCGGCCUGAGAGGGCGCACGGACACACUGGAACUGAAACACGGUCCAGACUCCUACGGGAGGCAGCAGUGGGGAAUUUUGCGCAAUGGGGGAAACCCUGACGCAGCAACGCCGCGUGGAGGAUGAAGUAUCUUGGUACGUAAACUCCUUUCGAUGGGGAAGAUAAUGACGGUACCCAUAGAAGAAGCCCCGGCUAACUUCGUGCCAGCAGCCGC
rnacentral:rRNA from 1 species